rnacentral:rRNA from 1 species
UACGUAGGGGGCUAGCGUUGUCCGGAAUCAUUGGCGUAAAGAGCGUGUAGGCGGCUUUGGUAAGUCAGAGGUGAAAUCCUGGAGCUCAACUCCAGAACUGCCUUUGAUACUGGAGAGCUUGAGUCCGGGAGAGGUGAGUGGAACUGCGAGUGUAGAGGUGAAAUUCGUAGAUAUUCGCAAGAACACCAGUGGCGAAGGCGGCUCACUGGCCCGGUACUGACGCUGAGGUGCGAAAGCGUGGGGAGCAAACAGG